rnacentral:rRNA from 1 species
AUUGAACGCUGGCGGCAGGCCUAACACAUGCAAGUCGAACGAGUGGCGGACGGGUGAGUAAUGUCUGGGAAACUGCCUGAUGGAGGGGGAUAACUACUGGAAACUGUAGCUAAUACCGCAUACCAUCGGAUGUGCCCCGAUGGGAUUAGCUUGUGGGUGGGGUAAAGGCGCACCAAGGCGACGAUCCCUAGCUGGUCUGAGAGGAUGACCAUCCACACGGGAACUGAGACACGGUCCAGACUCCUACGGGAGGCAGCAGGGGGGAAUAGUGCACAAUGGGCGCAAGCCUGACGCAGCCAUGCCGCGUGUAUGAAGAAGGCCUUCGGGUUGUAAAGUACGUUCAGCGGGGAGGCGUUACCCGCAGAAGAAGCACCGGCUAACUCCGUGCCAGCAGCCGCGGUAAUUC